rnacentral:lncRNA from 1 species
UUUUUCCAACUGUCUUCUCUAAUCACUGCACAAACAAAAAGAAGGGAGCUAUCCCACUCAACUGAAUUUCCUGGUUAAUCACCAAGUCGUAUGAAGUACCAUGCUAACCACAAGAUAAUCAGAGGUUAACAAGUGAAAUAUUCUCGUGUAAAAUCUAAAAACUCUUCAUGCCUUCCCUCCAUUCCUGCCUUAAAUCUAGGGUGGCAAAUACGAGGUGCCUGUUCGCGUUUCGAGCCCCUCACUGGUCUGCGGCCCUUAUCGCGAACAUGAAAUAUCACUGAAGACCCUAGGAGGUAGCACACACAGAGGAGCUCAGACGCGAACAGCUCCCAAGGCAGGCCAGGAAAUGUUCUGAAUUCUUAGUCUUGCUUUUCCUUAUUUUCACACAUUUUCUUUAGAAAAUUAAGGGAAAUGUUUAGUAACUUUGGCUCCAGUUAACUGAACCUUUCCUGCUGAUUUCCUUCCUCUAGUCACAUAACAGAUAAGACCCUGGGUACGUUUCAGGAUUUUUAGACCCAGGCCUCGUUUUCAGCCCUGAAUUUCAUGGCAGAGUCCUUAAAAAAACCAAAGUAUUUUUCACUGAUGGCACUCUAUAAUAAUGAUAAAUCUGCUUCUUGGUCACUUUUUUCUAACCUUCAACUUGAAAGCCAGUUCUAGAUUCAGCCAACUUGAUUUUUCUCUGACUCAUCUUUUUCUACUUUAGCCCCGCUGUUCCAGGGCCUACAGCAUAACCCUUUCCAACGGCAGUCGA